rnacentral:misc_RNA from 1 species
GUGAAUCAUCAAAUUUUUGAACGCAAAUUGCGCUUCCUGGCAUCCCGGGAAGUAUGCCUGUUUGAGGGUCAGUAUUAACAAAAAAUCGGUUUGGUUGCAAAUUGUGACGUUUCCGGAGUUUGGGCUAUCUUAACUUUUUUGGUUAGGGGGUUUAAAUUUGCCCUUUUUUUCCAUUUUUAUGACGUAAAAAAUUUUUUUUUUAUUCGUUCUUUUCUAAAUGCAAAAAUCUAUUUGGU